rnacentral:rRNA from 1 species
GACGAACGCUGGCGGCGUGCUUAACACAUGCAAGUCGAACGGAAAGGCCCUGCUUGCAGGGUACUCGAGUGGCGAACGGGUGAGUAACACGUGGGUGAUCUGCCCUGCACUUCGGGAUAAGCCUGGGAAACUGGGUCUAAUACCGGAUAUGACCUUCCAUGUAGUGUGGGGGGUGGAAAGAUUUAUCGGUGUGGGAUGAGCCCGCGGCCUAUCAGCUUGUUGGUGGGGUAAUGGCCUACCAAGGCGUCGACGGGUAGCCGGCCUGAGAGGGUGGACGGCCACAUUGGGACUGAGAUACGGCCCAGACUCCUACGGGAGGCAGCAGUGGGGAAUAUUGCACAAUGGGCGGAAGCCUGAUGCAGCGACGCCGCGUGGGGGAUGACGGCCUUCGGGUUGUAAACCUCUUUCGACAGGGACGAAGCUUCGGUGACGGUACCUGUAUAAGAAGCACCGGCUAACUAC